CACGAAUUCAGUUGAGCUAACUCGGCUAACAUUUUAUGUAGCAGAAUAUAUGUUGAAACCUAGUUAGGGGUGAAAGGCCGCGCAAAUCUGGUAAUAUCUUGAUGUAGGUGAAAGAAAUUGAGUUUUUAAGUUAACCACAUAGCAAUAAGGUUAUGUAGAAAAUUAAAGAUUUGUUUCACUUUUUGGUAGGCGUAAAAACCCGCACGUUUAGUAAAAGAAUAUGUAUUCUAAUAAACUUAUUAAACUAACUUACAAAAAUUUAACUAACGAUUUUUAAAUAAUGUUAAUAUGAGUACUAAGUAGAUGUUGGUAGUGAACUCGGCAACAAAGCUUUCAACUGUUUAUCAAAAACAUAACCACAUGUUGCACAUGUGGCGUGUUCUGCUCAAUGAUAUGUUAAAUAGCCGCAGUACCCUGACUGUGCAAAGGUAGCGCAAUCAUUUGUCUCUUAAUUGGAGUCGUGUAUGAAAGAAUGCAUGGGGGCUUACUUUACCAUCAGCAUAUGUCGAAAUUACUUAAAAGGUGCAAAAACCUUUAUUAAAAUAAAAGACGAGAAGACCCUUGAAAUUUGUACAGAAGUUUUGUUGGGGCAACAAAGUAGUAUAAACCUACUUCUUAGACACGCAAUGUGUUUGAUUGAGUAAAUUACUCUAGGGAUAACAGCAUAAUUCAUUGUGAGUUUGUGACCUCGAUGUUGGAUUAGGAUACUGCAGACUUAGAA
rnacentral:rRNA from 1 species